rnacentral:rRNA from 1 species
UGCCCAGUAAGAGGGGGGAAUAACGAUCCCGGAAACGGGUGCGUAAUACCGCAUAAGUUUUCUUGAUCGCAUGAUCGGGAAAGGAAAGACGGCCUUUGUGCUGUCGCUUAUGGAUGGACCCGCGGCGUAUUAGUUAGUUGGUGAGGUAACGGCUCACCAAGACGAUGAUACGUAGCCGACCUGAGAGGUGAUCGGCCACAUUGGGACUGAGACACGGCCCAAACUCCUACGGGAGGCAGCAGUAGGGAAUCUUCCGCAAUGGACGAAAGUCUGACGGAGCAACGCCGCGUGAGUGAAGUAAAGGGUUUUCGGAUCGUAAAACUCUGUUGUCAGAGAAGAACAAGUUGGAGAGUAACUGCUCCAGCCUUGACGGUAUCUGACCAGAAAGCCACGGCUAACUACGUGCCAGCCGCAGC